GCCACCUUAGCUCAGUUGGUAGAGCAACGCUUUCGUAAAGCGUAGGUCGCCGGUUCAAAUCCGGCAGGUGGCUCUA
rnacentral:tRNA from 1 species